rnacentral:rRNA from 1 species
GACGAACGCUGGCGGCGUGCUUAACACAUGCAAGUCGAACGGAAAGGCCCUGCUUUUGUGGGGUGCUCGAGUGGCGAACGGGUGAGUAAUACGUGAGUAACCUGCCCUUGACUUUGGGAUAACUUCAGGAAACUGGGGCUAAUACCGGAUAGGAGCUCCUGCUGCAUGGUGGGGGUUGGAAAGUUUCGGCGGCUGGGGAUGGACUCGCGGCUUAUCAGCUUGUUGGUGGGGUAGUGGCUUACCAAGGCUUUGACGGGUAGCCGGCCUGAGAGGGUGACCGGCCACAUUGGGACUGAGAUACGGCCCAGACUCCUACGGGAGGCAGCAGUGGGGAAUAUUGCACAAUGGGCGGAAGCCUGAUGCAGCAACGCCGCGUGCGGGAUGACGGCCUUCGGGUUGUAAACCGCUUUCGCCUGUGACGAAGCGUGAGUGACGGUAAUGGGUAAAGAAGCACCGGCUAACUACGUG